GAAGUUUCUUUCUGGUGUACUGAUGUCCCUGCGCUGCCACAUAUGUCUGUUAAGGACUUACUUGGGUACCGUGGGUUCAGAAGGUCCUGGAAAUCUACUCAGGAUCCUGAGCAGCGUGGACAGAAAAGUUGCUUUAAAAGAAAGAGCAGUAAACAUUAUUGGCCCUGAAGAGCUCCAGAGACCAGCACCCAGCAGUUUGAUGGCAUCCAGCCCAAGUCAAAUGCAGAGGAGUGCAAGAUAUCUGGCCAUACACUAGAGACUCGAAGAAUCCAGGUGAGGCUCUGGAUUCCUCAGCAAUGUCCCGCACAAGUCAGCCAGAGGCCUAGAGUCCACGGCGAGGUCUCAUGCAAGUCCAUAUGGAGGAUCUGCACCAAGAAGCCCCAGCGACCAGUGGUGGAAGCUAGAAAGCCUGUGCCGGCAGGGUGAAGGAUCUGCACCAGAGCCAGGAAGCGACGGUCAAGGUGACGACCAGAGCUGCCCUGACGAGAACAGCCAUCCCCAGUGACAGCGAGGCCCCGAGCUCCUCCCUCUGACUAUGAGAACGGCCAAGUUUGCAGCAGGAAAACCAGCCACGGCAACCUUCUCCAAGAAAAUCAACAGCAAAUGAUCUUCCCCUCCCGUUCUCUUUUUAUGACAUUGGCAACAAUCCUCAGGGCCUUGCUACUUUGCUAAACUGCCCAGGCUGACAAUGGCUGGCUCCUGUUCCUCGCCUGGAAUCACCUGGAGGCAGGUCUACACUGGCUCCUGCCUUCCUAGAGGGACAGAGCCCCAGAGCACCAUGCCCUCCCAACUUGGCUGUCUUCCUUCCCUGCCUCCAACUCACCUCUCCACAACACUCAAGUUCUUCCUUCAGAAUCAUCGGGCAGGAUAGGGACCAAGACGUGGGACAAAAAACACAAAACAAAUGACAUCUGCCCCAACUGUGACAUUUCACAUAUUUACACUGGGCAUAUUCACGUUUUUAGUGCAGCUGGGAACACAUGUGCGAAUGGGCACAGUACAGCUGAGGCAGAUGGAGGGACAAACAGAUGGAUGAAUAGUCAGGGGUCACCUUCUUCCUCCAAGAAAAUCUCAAAAGUCCUCAUCUGAAGUUCUUCCUUGAUAAGGCCCCACCAACUGAUACUUCCGGCGUAAAUCUCCUCUUAUCCCUGACUGAGGAUCAGCGGUAACAUCUGAGUCUUGCUUUAAGGACACUUGGGAAAUACGCAUUUUAGGGGGUGAAGCUGAAGCCUGAGCAAUGCUCCCAUAGGCACUCUCGGAGAAGGGUGGGCCAGCCAGCGUGGCCAGGAGAACAUGCAGAGUCUGUAUAUACCGGCCAAAAACCAGACUGGCAGCUGGACAGGCCAACAGGCACAUGUCAACCUGUGGAGACGUUACUCAGAUGACAACAGAAAGUCAGGGCAGACACCACCAGGGCCCAGCUUUAGGUUCAGUGUGAGGGAUAGAAAAUCAAAAAUAAAAGAUGUUUAUUUCUCUCAGGUAAAAUCCAUAGGUAAGAACCCCAGAAUUGUCACGGCUGUCCAGAGUAUUGGGACCCCAGGUUAAGCCCUGCUGUCUGUUCGAGGACAGCCACUUCCUUGUUUAAGACUGACUCAUGGGUCCAACAUGGCUGCCG
ensembl:lncRNA